AGGGGUGUAGCUCAAUUGGCAGAGCAUUCGCCUCCAAAGCGAAGGGUUGAGCGUUCGAGUCGUUCCACCCCUG
rnacentral:tRNA from 1 species